GUAUUUACCUGGCAAUGAAAACAACAUGACCAUGGUGGUGGUUUUUCCAGGGCGAAGCUUAUCCAAUGCAUUCCAGAUGUACUGACCCUACAAUUACCUCAAAUGAGGGAAGCAUGGUUGCAUAAUUUGUGGUAAUGGGGUACUGUGUUUACAAUCUUCCA